AAGAAUAUCUAUAAUCUUAAACAUGAAGGCUUUUCUCAUAAUAUGCAUUCUCUUGGCUACCAUCUUGUUCUCUCCCUCGGUGUCCGUUGCUGGAGCUCGAGAAUUAGCUGAGAAAGGUGCUCCAAUCAACUGCGGCCGCGGUAAAACAUAUUGCCUCCCUGAACCUCCUAAGCAAAAGUGCAAUCGUUACAUUCGCAAUUGUCCCCCUUGAAUGGAUUUAAUUACUUGAAAUCUCAACUAUCUACGCAUAUGGAGAAUAACUGUUCUCAACUAGUAGAACCUUGGGAACACGGCUUGUUUUCUCUCUAUUUGAAGUUUUAGCUUGUCUUGUAUCAUGUGAGACUUACAUAUAUGUACAAUAAUUGUGCGUAUCAAGCA
rnacentral:misc_RNA from 1 species